UACGUAGGGUGCAAGCGUUGUCCGGAAUUAUUGGGCGUAAAGAGCUCGUAGGCGGUUUGUCGCGUCUGCUGUGAAAACGCGAGGCUCAACCUCGCGCCUGCAGUGGGUACGGGCAAACUAGAGUGCGGUAGGGGAGAUUGGAAUUCCUGGUGUAGCGGUGGAAUGCGCAGAGUAUCAGGAGGAACACCGAUGGCGAAGGCAGAUCUCUGGGCCGUAACUGACGCUGAGGAGCGAAAGCGUGGGGAGCGAACAGG
rnacentral:rRNA from 1 species